GAUGAACGCUGGCGGUAUGCUUAACACAUGCAAGUCGAACGGACUCUUCGGAGUUAGUGGCGGACGGGUGAGUAACGCGUGAGAAUCUGGCUUUGGGUUCGGGACAACCACUGGAAACGGUGGCUAAUACCGGAUGUGCCGAGAGGUAAAAGAGAAAUUGCCUGAAGGUGAGCUCGCGUCUGAUUAGCUAGUUGGUGAGGUAAAGGCUCACCAAGGCAGCGAUCAGUAGCUGGUCUGAGAGGAUGACCAGCCACACUGGGACUGAGACACGGCCCAGACUCCUACGGGAGGCAGCAGUGGGGAAUUUUCCGCAAUGGGCGAAAGCCUGACGGAGCAAUACCGCGUGAGGGAAGAAGGCUCUUGGGUUGUAAACCUCUUUUCUUAGGGAAGAACAAAAUGACGGUACCUAAGGAAUCAGCAUCGGCUAACUCCGUG
rnacentral:rRNA from 1 species